rnacentral:rRNA from 1 species
GGGUUGUGAGGUUAAGCGACUAAGCGUACACGGUGGAUGCCCUGGCAGUCAGAGGCGAUGAAGGACGUGCUAAUCUGCGAAAAGCGUCGGUAAGGUGAUAUGAACCGUUAUAGCCGGCGAUGUCCGAAUGGGGAAACCCAGUGCAAUUCGUUGCACUAUCGUUAACUGAAUACAUAGGUUAACGAGGCGAACCGGGGGAACUGAAACAUCUAAGUACCCCGAGGAAAAGAAAUCAACCGAGAUUCCCCCAGUAGCGGCGAGCGAACGGGGAGCAGCCCAGAGUCUGAAUCAGCUUGUGUGUUAGUGGAACGGUCUGGAAAGUCCGACGGUACAGGGUGAUAGUCCCGUACACCAAAAUGCACAGGUUGUGAACUCGAAGAGUAGGGCGGGACACGUGGUAUCCUGUCUGAAUAUGGGGGGACCAUCCUCCAAGGCUAAAUACUCCUGACUGACCGAUAGUGAACCAGUACCGUGAGGGAAAGGCGAAAAGAACCCCGGCGAGGGGAGUGAAAAAGAACCUGAAACCGUGUACGUACAAGCAGUGGGAGCACCUUCGGGUGUGACUGCGUACCUUUUGUAUAAUGGGUCAGCGACUUAUAUUCUGUAGCAAGGUUAACCGUAUAGGGGAGCCGCAGGGAAACCGAGUCUUAACUGGGCGUUAAGUUGCAGGGUAUAGACCCGAAACCCGGUGAUCUAGCCAUGGGCAGGUUGAAGGUUGGGUAACACUAACUGGAGGACCGAACCGACUAAUGUUGAAAAAUUAGCGGAUGACUUGUGGCUGGGGGUGAAAGGCCAAUCAAACCGGGAGAUAGCUGGUUCUCCCCGAAAGCUAUUUAGGUAGCGCCUCGUGAAUUCAUCUUCGGGGGUAGAGCACUGUUUCGGCUAGGGGGUCAUCCCGACUUACCAACCCGAUGCAAACUACGAAUACCGAAGAAUGUUAUCACGGGAGACACACGGCGGGUGCUAACGUCCGUCGUGAAGAGGGAAACAACCCAGACCGCCAGCUAAGGUCCCAAAGUCAUGGUUAAGUGGGAAACGAUGUGGGAAGGCACAGACAGCCAGGAUGUUGGCUUAGAAGCAGCCAUCAUUUAAAGAAAGCGUAAUAGCUCACUGGUCGAGUCGGCCUGCGCGGAAGAUGUAACGGGGCUAAACCAUGCACCGAAGCUGCGGCAGCGACACGAUGUGUUGUUGGGUAGGGGAGCGUUCUGUAAGCCUGCGAAGGUGACCUGUGAGGGUUGCUGGAGGUAUCAGAAGUGCGAAUGCUGACAUAAGUAACGAUAAAGCGGGUGAAAAGCCCGCUCGCCGGAAGACCAAGGGUUCCUGUCCAACGUUAAUCGGGGCAGGGUGAGUCGACCCCUAAGGCGAGGCCGAAAGGCGUAGUCGAUGGGAAACAGGUUAAUAUUCCUGUACUUGGUGUUACUGCGAAGGGGGGACGGAGAAGGCUAUGUUAGCCGGGCGACGGUUGUCCCGGUUUAAGCAUGUAGGCUGGUUAUCCAGGCAAAUCCGGAUAAUCAAGGCUGAGGUGUGAUGACGAGGUACUACGGUGCUGAAGUAACAAAUGCCCUGCUUCCAGGAAAAGCCUCUAAGCAUCAGGUAACAUCAAAUCGUACCCCAAACCGACACAGGUGGUCAGGUAGAGAAUACCAAGGCGCUUGAGAGAACUCGGGUGAAGGAACUAGGCAAAAUGGUGCCGUAACUUCGGGAGAAGGCACGCUGGUGUGUAGGUGAAGUCCCUGCGGAUGGAGCUGAGACCAGUCGAAGAUACCAGCUGGCUGCAACUGUUUAUUAAAAACACAGCACUGUGCAAACACGAAAGUGGACGUAUACGGUGUGACGCCUGCCCGGUGCCGGAAGGUUAAUUGAUGGGGUUAUCCGUAAGGAGAAGCUCUUGAUCGAAGCCCCGGUAAACGGCGGCCGUAACUAUAACGGUCCUAAGGUAGCGAAAUUCCUUGUCGGGUAAGUUCCGACCUGCACGAAUGGCGUAAUGAUGGCCAGGCUGUCUCCACCCGAGACUCAGUGAAAUUGAACUCGCUGUGAAGAUGCAGUGUACCCGCGGCAAGACGGAAAGACCCCGUGAACCUUUACUAUAGCUUGACACUGAACAUUGAGCCUUGAUGUGUAG